AACAAUCAAAGCUCACGUGCCCUUGACACAAUUUGAUGCAAAUACAAAAAUCUAGGUCCACCGUCAACCGCGACGGUACCCGUCAACCGGAAACAGUCUACACACUAUUGUAAAAAACUCGGCAUCUCAGCACGAGCGUAAACCCAUCCUACACUAAUCUGGAUAUCUACCGCAUACAAACUGCGGCAAUACACAUAAACCAUAGCUCCUAAAGUUAAAUCUGAUAGUUUUCAGAAACUGACAGUGUAGGAUCUACAGUUUUCUCCUAAGUCAAUUCCAUGUCCAAUAUGUAAAAUUAUACUACUACUA
rnacentral:lncRNA from 1 species